rnacentral:lncRNA from 1 species
CGGCGAUUAGCCACUACGAAGGGCAGCUCGGCAACUACGCAGGUAGAAAGUUUAUGCUUCAAAUUUGCCCUGACCAGGACAAGAGGGUCACUAAUCAAGUCAACUCCAGUACUUAGCUCUUUAACCUGUGAAAUCUGUAUGAUCCAUGGUUUGGUUACAUGCACGGUACUAAUCUGUCUAUCUAUGAUCUUCAUCUCAUAGCGAUGCUCUAACUUGUUCGAUCUCCAGGCAUUGCUAGUCCAAAGUUGAUUAUCAGUAUGUGUGCACAAUCCAUCAUCAGGUCAGGCAGGAGGUGAAAUCUUCACAAGAUAAUCUAGACCUAUAUGUUUUCUCAGCUUGUGGCAGUGUUGGGGAAAUGGUUUGGGUAUUGCCGCCUGGUACAACCUUUUCUUUUUCUUCUGUACUCCCCCCUUCCAAGUAUUUUCACUUUUGGCAACCUAAGAAAUAAACCACCGGGGAGAAAACUGGGAUUAAGCAAGUAGUGCUGGUCUGUGCGGUGCGCCGGUGCCUAAAUGCCCACUGGUUGCCGUACGUACGGCUUAGGUUUCCUGAAAAUUGAGAGAAUAAAAAGGUCCAGUGCUUUGCGUCUGCUCUGAAUUACCCAUUAUAGUCUGUCUAACUCAGCAAGUCAGCAGGAUUCUCCUUUCGGAUAGUUUAUUAUCUGCAUAUUGCGUAUUGUUUUCUUGCUUGUGUGUAAACAUCUUCCCUUAUUAAUAUGAGGUUACAUCUUUUGCUUGAGUCAGCACG